UAAUACGGAAUGUGCAAACGUUAUUCGGAAUCACUGGGCUUAAAGAGUCCGUAGGCGGCUUGUUAGGUGAGGUGUGAAAUCCCCCGGCUCAACCGAGGAAUUGCGCUUCAAACCGGCGAGCUUGAGGAAGGUAGAGGUGGGCGGAACUGAUGGUGGAGCGGUGAAAUGCGUUGAUAUCAUCAGGAACACCGGAGGCGAAGGCGGCCCACUGGGUCUUUUCUGACGCUGAGGGACGAAAGCUAGGGUAGCGAACGGGAUUAGAUACCCCGGUAGUCCUAGCCUUAAACGAUGAGCACUAGACCGAAGAACUUCCACAGUUUUUUGGUCGUAGCGAAAGUGUUAAGUGCUCCGCCUGGGGAGUAUGGUCGCAAGGCUG
rnacentral:rRNA from 1 species